ensembl:lncRNA
UGUUGCACAAGUCUGUUGCCAUGGGGAUUCUGGCGCAGUGACUUUGCAGUAGUGCGGCUGCGGGAGUGGAGGAUUUCUUUUUGCGAGGGAGACUCCGGCAAAAAACAAAAACUGUUCGUGAGUUUAAGCUUCAACCACCAAUUAUGUGGAGGGGGCAUUUAUUUUAGAAAGAGAGUUGUGAAGCUUUACUUUGACCGGAAGCCUGGGCCUGCCACUGAGACCUUUUUAGUGUUUUCAUACUACCUCACCGUCUCGAUUAAAUUAAGGAUCGGUCACCACGCGAAUGGUUAGCAGAAAAAUCCAUUUCAAUAAAGGGAAAAAAAGGGAGAGCUAAUGAAGGCUUCAUAAUUGCAUGUUCCCUGGAUAAAAGUGUUAAUUAAAUACAAAGGCUGCAUAGAAAACAGUAAUUUAUUGGUCGAGAAGAGGAGGCUGCUUAGAGUAUUGAAGAUAUAAUCAGCAGCAUGGAUGAAUACAUUUUAAUUAAUAAUAAAUAUACUAUGGAUAUGUACAAACAUAGAUACAUAUAUUUAUAAAAUCACAACAAAUUUCAACCCUGCCCUCAAUACAGAAAAUUAAUAAAAGAUAUUGGUCUUCUUUGGAUAACCACUCAGGAAAGGUGAGACAUAAAUAUAAUGUCCCUGUUGGCUAUCAAUGAUAUUAUUGAAUUGGUUUGUGGUGAUGUGUUAGGGUGUAAAUAAUGGAAAACAGAUGGGAUCAGUCACCAUGUAUUGUGAAUCCUACACUGUAUAAGGUAUGAAUGUAGUCGCUCUGACCUCAGCCAAGGGUUUCUAAAGCUCAAAGUGAGCUUGAUUUAAAAACUGUUAAUGAACCUGCCGCACUGUUGUCAUGAACAGCAUUAGCUUUAGAGAUCAAAACAAGGCUUUAAACAUACAUAUUUCUGCUCUGACAUAUUAAACAUAAGGAUCUAAGUCUCAAGUGGCUUGGCAGAACUGAAUUACUUGAAUACCGGAAAAUAUAUAACUAAAUUACUCUACAUUCACAUGCGCGCAUUUAACAUUUAAUUCAAGUAUCUCACUUCUUCUUUUGCUUCUUCUUCUACAUCAAUUCAUUCUUUCUGGUCUGUAUUGGGAAGAGGUCAUAUUCAUUUUCAAACCUUGAAGAAUGUCAUGAGUAUGUAAACAAAUAAAACUAUUUACCGUUUAAAUGACAUGAUCUGAUGCAUAGUGUUCACCAAGACUGCAAAUUCCUAUCUUUUGCACCAUAAUCUCACUCUGUGACCCACCUGACGUCUCUUGCCAUAAGUAGGUGAUAAAGGCCUUGUGUAAUUGUCAGUAGUACCUGGGAUUUGGAUACACUGAGACUUUCAACCUGUAUGACAUUCUCCCAUGAGCCUUAAGACGGCACAAGCUAUUAGGUCCACCGUUUCUGAUAUGACAGAUGGGAGGGAUUUAAUCCUCCCAUUUCCUUUGAGUACCUUUGCAGACCAUGCAUUUUCAUUGGUGAAUAGACAGCAAGGGAGUUCAACAGUUAGAAAACUAAAUACCUGAAUGCUUCAUUGAAUUCCAAAAGAAAAUGAAAAACAGAAUCAAUAUUUGGACAUUUAUGCAUUUUACAAGUUAAGCUUUUUGAUUUGAGAAUCAACACAGGAGACGGAGAUGAGUUGGUAUUGAACGCAAUUAAAACUUCAGCUGAGUCUCAAUAGGGGCUUUGAUAAUGAUACAGAUGAGUUGGAUAUUCUACACAGCAUAGUGCUUCCUAAAAGAGCAAGCAUUUUAGUUUUUCUGUAAAUAGGAACAUCUAGAACCUAACAAACAAUGACCAUAUGUCAUCCCCAUGGAUGUCAUCCUUUGGGAGGCCAAGGCUAAUUGCCUUCACACCAUGAGUUUUACCUUCAUGGUACAGAUGGGAUAGACUUGGGAAUUUGAAUUUGCUCCCCCAUACAAAACAAAUGUGUCUAAAACCCAAUGCAGCUUUUUGUGGCAUUUGUUAACAUUAAUAUCUUGAUGAAAAAUACCUCCAAAAGCCUCCAUCACUGCUGUGACGCUGAGAAACAUAUGUUCAAAUACAGAUGUUGAGAUCAUGCUCAAGAUGAAAUCGAAUAUGGACCCAAAGCCCCUAUGGCCAGAGUUGGAAUAUCAAAUGCAGCUACAACGCACAACAUAGAUCCCAACAUAGGAUCUUAGGACACUGUGUAACCACAGGAAACUCUUAAUUUACAUUGUGUAGCUAGGUUCCUUUAAUUGUCACUGUUGUAUUUGGCCUUUUUUACUGUUUACUUCAACCGGCAAAUUUUAAUUCCAACGAAAGACUCGAUCAUCUUCACUUAUAGGUUCCUCCUCUUGCUGAACGUGUGUUUACCGGUGGGGGGAGAGUUUGGUUGGAAGGGAAAACUGUCCAGGCAAAGACAAUCUACCCUAUUUAAACUGUUUCAUUCAAAUGCUUUAAGCAACAAUGUUCUCACCAACACACUCUGAAGUUGCUGGGCUCCAAAAGCAGGUUGACAACCAGAGGGCCCUAACGAAGAAAGGUGAGACAUACAGUGUGGUCAUAUGAGAGAAGUGGGGACUGAGAAAGACGUGUGAAGGGGGGAAGAAAACAGAGAUUUACAGAAUCUGUGUUUUUACCUCUGAUUCCACCUGGAAGGCUGGCCAGUACUCCAAGAAGUCCUCCAGUGAUCUCUUUUUCCUGAACCAUCUCCUGGCAGCGAUGGGCUAAGGUUGUCAGCAUAAGCUUUUCUAUCAACAACAGGUUUCUCUCAUUCUUCCCCACUUCAUUGACAACCUGGGGUCUCAUUUCUUCCACCCUGCUCUGAUGCUCUCCUCUGGGACAGUUUGGAAGGCACUUCACUUCAUCUUGUCCGGCUCUUUUAACAUUGGAGUAGGGAUUCUCAUUGUCAGAGUUAUAUCUGCUCCCUUUGCCUGUGUUGAUAAGUUACUCUAGACUUCAAGUCCUGGGAAGCUUGGUCGGAUAAUCUCCCAUUUAAAAUGUGAGGCCCCUCUUCUAUCCUCACCAUCGACUCACAUAACCGGGCUCCUUAGGACAUCGAUGGGCUGUAACGAGAGCAGACCCGUGUCCCUGUCAUUUUGGUAAGAUAUGAAGGUGUGCACGGCACAAGACGCAGAUAUCCGAGGAUGUCUAUAUCGGAACUUGUGCAUGAGCUGCUGUCUGUUUCUGAUCUGAAAACUUUCACUGUGCCUUUCUUUAGUAACUUUUGAAUGUCCUCUAGAUAGCUUAGUUGUCCAGUCAGGUUACUCAUACUGCAGGGUAAACUCAAAGUCUAGGCAGGGUGUGACUUUUAUGGGUAAGUCUAUAGCAAAGUAAACGUGCAGCAGGAAUUUCUGGGGUAUUGCCAUAAUCUGAUGGACAGAUCCAUCCAUAACGGAUUGAAAUGGAAAAAACGCCUGUUUUGUUAAAUGGUGUAAAUACAUAACAAAAUUAAACCUACCUUAAAAUGGAAGAAGCCGGAUUCUUUACUGUGGCGUUUAAAUGUAGGUCACAAAUUAACGUUCACAGAUAUAAAUCUACUUUCAGUGUAACGGUUCAUGUUCACUGUGGGAAGUUCCUAUGUUCUCAAUUUUGUUCUUGGCCAAUAAAUGUGGAAUCUCCAAUUUUGUCAAACUGAGCACUAACGCCCCACAGAUACAAGCGCAUCAACUUCAUAAUUAGUGCUAUCAAUAAUGAUCUUUGCUGUUCAUGUGCUGUUAAUCAUUUUGCUCUCCUUUUUUUAUGUGCUCCUUUGCCACCUCAAUAAACACUGAAACACACAUUUGCUGAAUUUGUCUGCGGAUGUGGUUUAAAGAAUGAUGCCGUGCUGAGGUAGUGUGCCACCAUGUGCUGAUGCCUAGUGUUUUUAAUACUUUCCGUUUACCAUUUAAGCAGGUCAUGUAUUCAAACAAUAAUUUUUUUGCAUUCAAAUCUCAGUCCACAAAUGGAGAAGAGAACCAAAACGGCAACGCGGUCAAGGUAGUGAUGAACAUAGUGAGGUACUGAACUCAGGAAAAACCUCCUGAAGCAUUUUUCUGUGAUCAUGCAGCUUAGUCUCAAAAUAGUGGAUAGAAUAGUCAUCAAAUGUUGGACAAAGCACAAGCUCUACAAUGACUUUGACAUCAAAGACAUUGUCGACAAAGGAAAAAUCAUAAAGGGGCAAUCUGGAAAAAAAAGAAGUAAAAAUGAUCUAAUCAUAAAUGCAGUGGAAGCACUCAGAGUCUCUACAAUAUGCUUUUUAGUUGGCCAAUGCCACCAACGUUCCUCUUUCCAGCAGUGUUUAUUGAGAUUGGCUUUGGUCGGUUUUCUUAGUAUGGGAAUGACACAUAUUUCCUGGUGUAAAAUAUCAUCUCCUGAAUAAACAUAGCCAACUACACAGGUACAAAUGCCCUCAGAACGAUUAUGCCGCACACCAGGUGGUGAACCACUAGUUGUAUGAAAAUACUGCAAACUCUCUUUCAAGAUACAGUCCACCCUAAACCAAACUGACUUUGUCUUCUUCCCAUGCAUAACAACACGGUCAUGACUGCCUUUGUUCUAAAUCCUUGUGUAGCGUUACAAAAUCCACAAAGGGCCGGAAGCCUGCUAAUGCCAGGUCUGAUUCAAUGCAUAAAACAUUGACCCAAACGGAUCACGGCCGUCAAUGAAUACACCAUUUUGUUCAAGAGUGCAAAACUCUCGUAACAAAGGAACACUUGCUGUUUGAGAGCCACACCUGGAGAAUGGAUACCUUACGUAGUGCUGCGCGGCUGACUGACUGAUCGAUCAGCAACAACCUAAUAUAUACUGAACACAGUUUAUGGAUUUCCUAUGAAGUAGAUCUGCAAUUGCAGAAGACAACAAAUAAUUGAUUUAUUAUUAUGUAAUCAAUAUAUAAACAUUUAAAUUCGCCUGAUUCUUGAGGACGCUUGCUACUUUGUGUGGCAGAGUGGCUCCGCUCACUUCAAUCUCCAUGUUUUUGGGUGUUCUAAAUCAGCUGACUUUCCAUCUUUCCGUCUUUUGUGUCUCCCCCUUCCGCGUCAUCGACGGCGCCUGCCUGUCUGCCGACUGAGGUUGGAGGUGGAAGCGUGGCCUUCAAGCCGGUACAGAUCCCCUUAGGCGUAGCAUCCAAUUCCUACGCUAAAGCGGCGUCGUUGUGGUGCACCACCCUGGCGUGGGAGCACUAAAGCUUCUACGUCCCGCCAGUGGCUCAC